rnacentral:rRNA from 1 species
AUGGCUCCUCCUUCACCACCAAAGGAGCCUACGAUGCACUGGCCUCUAGCUUGUCACCACAUGCUUGCAUGCAUCUGGGAUGCCCGCGUGCCUAGCCGGGUACGUGUCUUCGGCUGGCUCCUCUACCUCGGCAGGCUAAACACCAGGGCCAACCUUCAUCGCAAGACUCUUCUUGAGUCUUCAUCAUGCCCCCGAUGCGGGGCCACGCCAGAGGACCGUUCUCACCACUUCUUCACCUGCCCAGUUGCUCGGUCUAUUUGGGAAGCCAUUAGUUUUCUGCCAUGUUUCUCCCCCUUUGCAGCGCUUUGGACUUCCCCUUCCCAUAAGGUCCUUCUAGAGACCGUGUGGCCUCUCAUUGUGCUGCUCAUCACAUGGAAAUUUUGGGAUGCUCGAAAUGCUAAAACUUUUAGGGAUAUAGAUACUACUGCCUCCGAUGUUCUUAUAGGCAUUAUCUCUGACCUCACCCUAUGGUCUCACCGCCUCAGAAGGGCGGAAGACAAAGUCCAUGCCAGCUUGUGGUGGGACUUCUUUUCUUCUCACCUUCUCUAG